AACUUCAUAGCUGUUAUGUGACUUGCCGGGGUAGUCAGUUCGGGUCCAGAGUGAAUUCAGAAUGAAAUGAUACACUUAGUCUCAAGGUUGAAAGCUUAAGUUGAAAUGAUUGACCGGAUGUUGAUCUAUGAGUAAACGACUCCGGAAUUGAGUUUUGAUGGUUCUGUUAGCUCCGUUGGGAGAAUUUGGACUUAGGAGCGUGUCUGGAUUGUGAUUUGGAGAUCCGUAGUGGAAUUAGGCUUGAAAUGGCGAAAGUUGAAUUUUUGGGAAGUUUGACCGAGAGUGGACUUUUUGUUAUCAGGGUCGAAUUCCGAUUCCGGAAGUUAGAGUAGGUUCGCAAUGUCAAAUGUGAUUUGUGUGCAAAUUUUGGGGUCAAUCGGACGUGUUUUGAUGGGUUUCGGCGUCGUUUGUAGAAAUUUAAUUUCCUUAGUUUCAAUAGGCUUGAAUUGGGGUGCGAUUCAUGUUUUUGAAGUUGUAUGAUGUGAUUUGAGGGCUCGACUAAGUUCGUAUGAGGUUUUAGGACUUAUUGGUAUGUUUGGUUGAGGUCCCGGGGGCCUCGGUUGAUUCCGGAUGGUUAACGGAUCAAAAGUUGAAGUUGAGUGAUUGCUGAAGUUGGACCCCUGCUGGUGUAACAGCACCUGCGGAGCUUUGAUCGCAUGUGCGAGCUCGCAGGUGCGGGCUGGCUUGCGCACGUGCGAGUUGGAGGGGAGUGUGCAGGUGGUCGCAGGUGCGAGGAGUUUUCCGCACCUGCGUGGCCGCAGAUGCGGUGAGAGGUGCGCAGAAGCGGAAGGUGCGCAGGUGCGAUAGGGAGUUCCGCAUCUGCGGUCAGGGGAACCGCAGAAGCGGAACUGGGUAGAUGGGCUUGGUCCGCAGAGGCGGCUUGGGUUCUCGCAGAAGCGGAGUGAGGGACCGCAGGAGCGGAAUGAGCCGCAGAUGCGUGUGUGAUGUCGCAGAAGCGGAAGUGCUGGGCAGAUUAUUAAAACAAGGGUUUGCGAUUUUGGCUUCAUUUCAAACAUUUCAAGCACGGGUUUGGGCGAUUCUUGAGAGGGUUUUCGAGGGGAUUCUUGAGGUAAGUCUCUUGCGCUCAUUUUUUAUCAAUAAUCUUGCUUCCCCGUUGAUUUUCCCACUUAGUUGGUGUGUAUUUAAGGUGUAAAUUGGGAGUUUGAAGCUAGGAAUUUGGAGAGUUUGAUUUGGGGAUUUGGGUGACGAUUUGGUGUCGGAUUUUGAUAAAUUUGGUAUGCUUAGACUCGUGGUUGAAUGGGCUUUCGGGUUUUGUGACUUUAAUCGAAUUUCGAGACAUGGGCCCGGGGGCGGCUUUUGAGUCGAUUUUUGACUUUUGAUUAAUAACUUAGCAUUUCCUUAUGGAGUUGAUUCCUUUAACCCGUAUUGAUUAUAUCGAAUUGUUUAUGGCUAGAUUCGAAGCAUUCAGAGGCCGUUUCGCGAGGUAAGGGUGUGUUGGAGUAGAGAUUGCACGGAUUGAGGUAAGUAACAGUUCUAAAUUUGGUUCUGAGGGUACAAAACCCUAUAUUACGUGUCAUGUAUUUGGUUUUGAGGUGACGCACAUGCUAGGUGACGGGCGUGUGGGCGUGCACCUUAGGAAUUGUGACUUGGUCAAAUUUCAUGGAACUGUGUAGUUGAAUAAUCUGUUGUUAUCUGUACAUUCUCCAUGUAUUAGAGAAAUUGAACCACAAAUCAUGUUAGCAAUCAUGUUUAGACUAUGUGUUGGCACUGUAGGAACCCACAAAGGUCGGGUACAUGUUGAAUUAUCUGCUAAAUUGGUGUUUUGUACUCGAUCACAGUUUUACUUGUAUAUUACAUCUCAGUCUCUAUUGUUCAUUAUUGAUGCAUAAUAUUAUUGUUGUUUGGGCUGCUUAUCAUGAUUUCUGAGAGCCCAAGAGACUGGGGAGAUUGAUGAAUGAGUGAAGCCGAGGGCCUGAUUGUGAGGAUGUUUAUGGGAUCGGGCUGCACGCCGCAACAUGUUUUACUGAUGUAUGCCAUGAUUAGCUUGUUAUAGCACUUGGGCUGAAGGAGCCCCUCCGGAGUCUGCACACACCCCUAGUGAGCGCAUAUACCUACUGAGUGCGAGUGCCGAGUGCCGAGUGAUUGAGAGGAAUGAGUGAUUGUGAGGAAAGAGUGAUUGUGAGGUUGGAGUGAAUGGGAGGACUGAGUGAUUGUUGCUCUGAGAGGAUGUAUUGACUUCAUUAUUGUUGCACUUCAGCUGUCAUAUAACACUGUCUUGAAAUUUAUGAGAGAUAUUAUCUUCUGUUUCAGUUGAACUUGACAUGAAUUACUGUUUUGGCCUUAAUUGUCGAACCUGAAAGCAUGCCUACCUUACUAUGUUGAAAUUUCUGUAAUUGAACUUUAGCUGUGAAGCUCGUCACUACUUUCAGUUCUUUAUUUAGUAUUGUUACUUACUGAGUUGGUUGUACUCACGCUACACCCUGCACUUCGAUGUGAAGCUCGUCACUACUUUCACGCUACCUUGUCUCUCUUUCCCUAUCUUUCCGCUUAUUGUAUUUAGUUUCAGACUAUCAUAUACAGUAUUUUCCAGACUUGUGAUGUAUAGAUGCUCAUGUACUAUGUGACACCCCGAUAGUUGGGAACUUCCGCGUUGUGUUUUGGGUUUUUAUCCCUGUUUUUAUGAGAUUUUUUAUUAUUUAAACUGCUUUAAUUCAUUUCUAUUAAAGGUGUUGGAAUUAUUUCGAAAUGUCGGCUUGCCUAGUACCACGAUAGGCGCCAUCACGACAGGUUAGGAUUUUGGGUCGUGACAGUUUCCCCAGAAAUGCUCACCGAGACAACUGUAACGCAAGUAAAUAAAGACGAAAAACCUAUACAUCAAUCAAAUAAAAAUUAAUACUCCUUUAGUUCUAAUUUAUGUCAUUGUUUCUACUUUUGGACUUUUCUAAAUCUAGUAACCAUUCCAAUGGUAACAUUAUUUUUACAGCUUUAAAAGAGUUUAAAAUUCAUUUGACUAUUCAAAAUGUAGAACUUCGAUGUAAGUUUCACCAAAAAAAUAAGUUUUCAACCAUAAUAUUAAUUUUUUUAUCGCUAAUGUAAUACAUGGAGUUAACAACAUCAUACACUCUGAGUCUACUCAAUCACGGUCAAAUAAAUUAGGGAGAAGGGUCAAAUUUGCCCUCGAACUAUGCGAAAUAGAACAAAUUUUCCCUCCAUUAAUAGUUAGAGUCAAUUAUGCCCUCGCUGUUACAAAAUGGGAUAGAUUUGCCUUGAUUUCAAACAGCGGAAGCUUAGGACAUCGUGAUGCCACGUGUCUCACAUUAAUUCAUAACUGUUUUAAACGAAGGACAAAUUUGAAUCUUUCGCAUAGUUUAGGGCCAAAGUUGACCCUUCUCCCUUUUGAAUUUUGUGGAAUAGUGUGUCCAACAAUAGUUUGAAAUGUGAAGAAAUAAAAAAUUUAAAUCUUAGUAUAGACUAAUAGCCUAUUUGGCCAAGCUUUGUUUUUUGCCUAAAGUGCUUUUUUUGGGUAAAAGUAAUUUUUUCAAAGUUUGACCAAGCUUUUAGAAGAAAAAAAAUGCUUUGAGUAGAAGCAGAAGCAAAUUUUGAGAAGCAGAAAAAAGUAAGUUUCUCCCCAAAAGCACUUUUUGGAAAGCACUUUUAAAAAAAAUAAAUAAACUUUGAAGCAUUUUCUAAAAGCUUGGCCAAACACAAACUGUUGCUCAAAAUUGUUUUUCAAAUUGAUUAGCGAAACUGCUUCUCACCAAAAGUACUUUUUUUGAAAAGCACUUUUUAAAUUAUUCUGAUUUUAGAAGCACGGCUAAAUAGGCUAUAAUAUAAAGUAAUACUCUCUUUGCUACAAUGGGCAAAGGGUCAAAAUUUCCAACCAUGCGAAAUAGAAACAGAUUUGCCCCGUUAAUAGUUGGGGUCAAAUGUACCCUUCCCGCUACCAAAAUGGGCUAUAUUUGCCCUUACUUUCAAAUGGCGGAAGCUUAGCACCUCAUGAUGCCUCGUGUCCCACAAUUAAGUCAUAAUGUUUUUUUUAAAUAAAGGGAAAAUUAGCACAUUUCGCAUAGUUCAGGGGGAAUUUGGUCCUUCUCCCAAUUAAAAAUAAUAACUAAUCAAACAUCAUAUUCUUAAUAAUCAAGCACUCGAAAGGAGGUAGUGUUGUUAACCUAACUUUUCCCUCUUAUAGAAAUUUAAUGAUAUCUUGUAAUCCAUGCAGACUUUUAAUGACAAGUAGACAUUGUGGAAGAAAAAGAUCUAUAUAGGCGAUACCAACUAAUCGGGAUUGGCAUAGUCAUAUUUGGGACCUUCUAUAGUGAACUAAGCUGAACCUAUUUUCUUCUUUUACCAAAAUAUAGUGACUAUACUUACAGAAUUUACAUAACGCAGUACCUUCUAGCACAACACACAUGUAAAAUUAGACAUAACUAGCGAUUUAAACCGCAGUCUUCGUAUAGGAAGGGAAAGUUACCAAAUGGAUUAACAGUGAUUGUUCAUAAAAUUGGCAAUGUAGGCGAGUUACCUUCUUAACGGAGGCGGACCAGGAGAAAGUUAGACCAAGGAAGACAAUGAAGAAGAAAGGUCCCCAGAGAUCCCAAACCGGAAGCGCUUUCCCUGGAUCUUCUCUAUACGGAUUAGGGAAAACCACAAGCAUCAAAUUGCUAACAAUUCUGGACAGAUCUCUUUUGAACGUGUCCCAGACGGACUCCGUAAGCGUAUUGGGUGGAGAUCUGAAUCCCGUAGCAACUAUAUUCAAUUGUCCUUAUGAUGAAGGAAGCGAAGGCCUUAUGAUGAAGGCAGCGAAGGCCUUAUGAUGAAGGCAGCGAAGGCGGGGUGGG
rnacentral:lncRNA from 1 species